ACAACUCGUGAGCUAAACCCUAAGGUUCCAUUUUACAGCAUUUCAUAGUUGUCAAAGUCUUAACACAAAUUUUCCGUUGGAGUUGGUAUGAUUAAUUUGUAUUUAAUUUUUGGCAAAUAAUUCUGCAACAUUGCGUGCAUGAAUGUAAUUUGCUUUAUGAUGAUUAUUAAUAUUUCUAUUCUAAUAAAUAAUGCCAUAGCAGGAUGAUAUUAUUUUUGGUAUUUCCAGACACUGUCCUCGGGACUGGAUG
rnacentral:misc_RNA from 1 species